rnacentral:lncRNA from 1 species
GGUGAGAGUUGUGAUUAUUAUUUGGGAGCAAUGAAAAAGGAAAAGAAGUGACUCUUUGUGUUUACGUGAAUUGUCUUAUUGGGAUAAGUAGAAAAACCUCUAGCUCAAGUUAUGAAAAGUCUUGGCCCCCAUCUAAAAAUAAAAAAAUAAAAAUAAAAUAAAAUAAAAUAAAAUAAAAUAUAAAAAGAAAAGAAAAAGAAAGAAAAAUGGGGCUAGCAAAAUUGUUAGGAGCUAAGUAAUGUUUUGAGGUUGUGGAAAAUCCCUUGUAGAUUUCAAAGAGAAGGAGUUAAAGUUUUUAGGAUCUUUUGGUGAGAGAUGUGAGUUGGGUUUGACAUUUGGGAAUGAUUGUGUAAUUGUAUGAUUAGGAAAAGGGUAGAACAAUGGAGAUUGAGCAUUGUGCAAUGUCAAGGCUACUUGUUUUG